GUGUUUGUCUGGUCGUAGAAACACAGGGGGCGACCAAAGCUCCCUCAUGAACCCUAGCUUUGCAAUUUCACCAAAUUGAUAGGGUAAAUCGGCUCCAAAUCGAAAUCCAAACUCAGAAUAGUGAUCACCUUCGGGAAAGGAUCAUAAGGCACGGUGGUUGAAUCUUCAAGCGGUUAAGUCGGAGCGGACCCGCACUUGAAGGAUAUGCUUUGAAAGCGAAAAUGGUUGAGUUGGUACUUUUUGGAUACCGGAGGACGAUCAAGCUCAGCGAAGAACCGAACACGAUAAAGAUUCAUGCUUCCGCACAUUGUUAAUCGUUAUUUUUAAACGACGAAUUCCAUCACGUUAUGUUGAAUAACUUAUGAUUUGUAAAAGUUUUAAUAAAUCCAUAUUUAUAUAGUAUGUGUAGUCUUAACUACACAU
rnacentral:lncRNA from 1 species